rfam:Gasterosteus aculeatus cont1.003004, whole genome shotgun sequence.
UUUAAAGUGUAAUGUAAGUCGCUUUGGAUAAAAGCGUCUGCUAAAUGACAUGUA